UACGUAGGGUGCGAGCGUUGUCCGGAAUUAUUGGGCGUAAAGAGCUCGUAGGCGGUCUGUCGCGUCGAUCGUGAAAACUCGGGGCUUAACCCUGAGCUUGCGGUCGAUACGGGCAUGACUGGAGUUCGGCAGGGGAGACUGGAAUUCCUGGUGUAGCGGUGAAAUGCGCAGAUAUCAGGAGGAACACCGGUGGCGAAGGCGGUUCUCUGGGCCGAUACUGACGCUGAGGAGCGAAAGCGUGGGGAGCGAACAGG
rnacentral:rRNA from 1 species